rnacentral:rRNA from 1 species
AACACAUGCAAGUCGAGGGGAAACGACAUCGAAAGCUUGCUUUUGAUGGGCGUCGACCGGCGCACGGGUGAGUAACGCGUAUCCAACCUGCCCAUCACUUGGGGAUAACCUUGCGAAAGUAAGACUAAUACCCAAUGAUAUCCCACGAAGACAUCCGAAUGGGAUUAAAGAUUUAUCGGUGAUGGAUGGGGAUGCGUCUGAUUAGCUUGUUGGCGGGGUAACGGCCCACCAAGACGACGAUCAGUAGGGGUUCUGAGAGGAAGGUCCCCCACAUUGGAACUGAGACACGGUCCAAACUCCUACGGGAGGCAGCAGUGAGGAAUAUUGGUCAAUGGGCGAGAGCCUGAACCAGCCAAGUAGCGUGCAGGAUGACGGCCCUAUGGGUUGUAAACUGCUUUUAUAAGGGAAUAAAGUGAGUCUCGUGAGACUUUUUGCAUGUACCUUAUGAAUAAGGACCGGCUAAUUCCGUGCCAGCAGCCGCGGUAAUACGGAAGGUCCGGGCGUUAUCCGGAUUUAUUGGGUUUAAAGGGAGCGUAGGCCGGAGAUUAAGCGUGUUGUGAAAUGUAGAGGCUCAACCUCUGCACUGCAGCGCGAACUGGUCUUCUUGAGUACGCACAACGUGGGCGGAAUUCGUGGUGUAGCGGUGAAAUGCUUAGAUAU